AAGACCUUGCACUUUUGGAGCGGCCGAUGUCUGAUUAGCUAGUUGGUGGGGUAAUGGCCUACCAAAGCUUCGAUCAGUAGCUGGUCUGAGAGGACGACCAGCCACACUGGGACUGAGACACGGCCCAGACUCCUACGGGAGGCAGCAGUGGGGAAUUUUGGACAAUGGGGGCAACCCUGAUCCAGCCAUGCCGCGUGAGUGAAGAAGGCCUUCGGGUUGUAAAGCUCUUUCAGCCGGAACGAAACGGUUACGGUUAAUACCCGUGACUACUGACGGUACCGGAAGAAGAAGCACCGGCUAACUACGUGCCAGCAGCCGCGGUAAUACGUAGGGUGCGAGCGUUAAUCGGAAUUACUGGGCGUAAAGCGUGCGCAGGUGGUUUUGUAAGUCAGAUGUGAAAGCCCCGGGCUCAACCUGGGAACU
rnacentral:rRNA from 1 species